GUCGAGUCGGCCCUUUCAGGGCUGCGUUCGGAAAUGUCCCGAGUGCACAUGAGUACACUCCCUUCUCUUUCUAUUUUAGCGACUAAGAAAGAGAAGGGAGUAUACUCAUGUGCACUCAAAACGUUUCCGAACGCAGCCCAAGUUUUCCAAAGAGCGUACGCGCGCAUGUGCAUUUUGCAUAUGUAGGUUAUGUAUACUGUCUUUGCACAAUCCGCGUUACUGUCGAAGUGAGAGGAAAACCUGGAGAACAUAUAUCUCGCAGUCUCGCUAUGCCUGGCUUUGUGUGAACUGUGAACUGUGAAGUGUUAUCUGUAAUAUUGCGAUAUUGCAUUACUGACUGGGGUGACUCUCGAUGAAUAGCAUGUUUCUUCAGUUCCUCUUUUUUUAAGUGAAAUUAAAUUUAUGCUUUUAACCAAGCAAGAUAGCUGUGAGUGAAUGAAAGGUCGUAACUCACGGCCUUACACAAAGAUCAUAACAAAUUGAAAGAUCCGUUCCUUUGACCUUUGACCCAAUGGAUUUCUGACUCUGAUUUGAGUCGUAGUACCACGGCGAUUUAUAUCCGUUACGAGAUUCGAAUGGUUCGAUCUCGGCCUUCAUGAUCUUCCUGCGUAUACCUCGUUUAAGGAUGUAUCACUGGUACAAUCUUAGACAAAAGUGCAUGAAAUUUGAAAUACUUGAAUAUCUACGCCUAACGCAUAGUAAAUCUAGAUGUAAGAUACUCAAAUGAUAGUAGGAGUCUUAUUUUUACUCCUACAAAGGUAUUUUUUACUUUACAAAUGUUUUUUCCAGUAUUAUUUGCGAUUUUUGUAAUUUAUGAGCCUAAACUUUUGGCAGUAAAUAUGCCCUGAUUUCAACUUUAUAACGUCAAAUUAUUAAUAAAAUUAAUAAUUAAUUAUUAAUUAUUAAUUAAUUAUUAAUUAUCAUUAAUUAUUAAUUUAUUUCUUUAAAACGGUGUAGUGAAGACAAUUGAAACUUGACAGAUAGUUUCAUCUAUUCGUAUACUAAAUGUAUAAAAAAAUUCCAAAUAUUGGUAGCGCUCCUUCAACAUUUUUUUAGCUGUUUUAUCCGUCAAAAUCGUCUCUUCCCAUAAAAAUACGUGUAAAAUCAGUGAAAAUUAAAAUCGUUAUAUCUCAGCAACCGUUUAGUGGAUUUGUUUCUACUUUUUUUGUAGCACAUCAGGAAGACUAAAAGAACAUUCUUACAAAUUUUUAUCCACUUGGUAGCGCUUUGAAAAUAGAUGCAAUACAUCCUUAAGAGGUUCCCUGUUUAAAGGAAUUAGGAAAGUUUAAGGAUUAAAAGUCCGCAAGGUUGUUUAAUAAUCCGUUUAAGAGGUUAAAAGAAAGAAGUUCAUAAAGAAUUUUAGAACUGGAACACGUGUCGUAUUGCCCAAAGGAGAAGCAGAAGGCACUUAAUUUCCCUCACCCAAGAGAUAACAGAAAAAAGGCUGCGAUUUGCUUGACUGCACGAUUCUCUUUUCAUUACUACAUAGUUAAAAAUAAAACUAUUUCCAUGUAUUUAAUUGUUGAAUUUGAUGAUGGAAUAUUUGCUAUUCCAACUAUUUGGUUAAGUGCAGACAAGACAAAAUGUAAAUGGCCUCCAUAUGAUGAAAGAAAAAUUUUAAAAGCUGUCUCUAAAAAGAAAAACUUAAUGAAAAUUGGAAAUUCUUAAGUGUCAUAACAAUUUUUGAAACUGCAGCUGAUUAUGAUAAUGCUAUAAAAAAGUGUUCUUAGCAGAACAGCUGACUGAUAUUAGUGAUUCAGAAAAUGCAAGAAAAACUAGAAAAUCUCGUGCACGUAUUCAAUAUAGUGAUAAUUCUGACAGUGAAGGACAUCCUCCAAAAAAAAAGAUCAAAAAGAAUUGAAAGUACUGGAAAAAAAGCAAUUAGAUCCGACAUCCAAUAUCCAAAGUUUCCUUCAGUAUCCAGCAUCAACAGAUCACCACUUACUAGUAUCAAAAAUGAUAACUCAAUGUUGAGAAAACAUAAUGUUGACACAUUAAUUGAACAAGAAAAGAAUACUUCUGUGAAAGCAUCCGACAUUAGAGAUACUUCUCAACAGACAUAGAUCAUACCAUUUUAACAAAUAAUGAAAAAAUUGAUGAUAAUGCAAUAUUGACAAAACGUAAUGUUGACACCACAAUUGUUCAAGAAAAGAAUCCUAGGAAAGCAUGUUACAUUAAAUAGAUAUAGAUCAUACAUUUUUAACAACUAAUGAAAAAAUUGAUUACUUAAUUGGACAUAUAGAUCGUAACACACACGGAGAGAAAAAAUAGGGAGUAAUCCCAUAGAGUUACUCUCCUAAAUAUCACAUGGGCGCGAAUCGAGCCUAAGGUCCGACUGCGCCAGUAACUGUACCGGUGGCGCCACCGAUUUUCUACUGACAAAUCAUUGCACUAAUAUUUCCAGCGAGCUAACCGGAAUUUUUCAGUAUCGCUCAUGGAGCUCAUGGAAUAACUUCGGGUCGUCAAGUUCGUAUGUAUAUAU